rnacentral:rRNA from 1 species
CAAAUUUAAAAUCUACCUGGUUUYCAGGUCGAGUUGUAAUUUGAAGAUACGUUUUUGACGUUCCGGGUUGAACUAAAUCCUUUGGGAUAAGGUAUCAUGGAGGGUGAGAAUCCCGUAUAUACCAACCRUAGGGAUGUUAUUUAAUACGUUUCUAAGAGUCRAGUUGUUUGGGAAUGCMGCUCUAAAUGGGUGGUAAAUUUCACCUAAUGCUAAAUAUAAGCGAGAGACCGAUAGCGAACAAGUACAGUGAUGGAAAGAUGAAAAGAACUUUGAAAAGAGAGUUAAAUAGUAYGUGAAAUUGUUGAAAGGGAAACGAUUGAAGUCAGUCAUGCCRGUGGGAAUCAACUUAGAGGAAACUCUGAGUGCACUUYUUCGCUUGGCAGGUCAACGUCGAUUUUGGAUGUCAUAAAAWGAUUGGGGGAAGGUAGCUCYUUCGGGAGUGUUAUAGCCCUUGGUAGAUGUGAUGUCUGGGAUCGAGGAUUGCAAUGGAUACCCUUUGGGGCUAGCCGCCUGAUCUCUAAUYGGUAUUGGGUUACGGAUAGCAUGCUGACCGUGAUCUAAUUAUUGGUUAAAAGGUUAG